rnacentral:rRNA from 1 species
AACGAACGCUGGCGGCAUGCCUAACACAUGCAAGUCGAACGAGACCUUCGGGUCUAGUGGCGCACGGGUGCGUAACGCGUGGGAACCUGCCCUUAGGUUCGGAAUAACUCCCCGAAAGGGGUGCUAAUACCGGAUAAUGUCUUCGGACCAAAGAUUUAUCGCCUUUGGAUGGGCCCGCGUUGGAUUAGCUAGUUGGUAGGGUAAAAGCCUACCAAGGCGACGAUCCAUAGCUGGUCUGAGAGGAUGAUCAGCCACACUGGGACUGAGACACGGCCCAGACUCCUACGGGAAGCAGCAGUGGGGAAUAUUGGACAAUGGGCGAAAGCCUGAUCCAGCAAUGCCGCGUGAGUGAUGAAGGCCUUAGGGUUGUAAAUCUCUUUUACCCGGGAUGAUAAUGACAGUACCGGGAGAAUAAGCUCCGGCUAACUCCGUG